CUUAACAUGAAGUGAAGCAUGUAAACCUGCUGAAUUUAAGCAUAUAAGUAGGCGGUGGAAAAUGAACCAAAUGGGAUUCCUUAAGUAAUUGCGAAUGAACAAGGAAAUGCUCAGCUUGAAAAAUGGGGCCUUUGGCUUUGAAUUGUAAUUUUGAAAUGUAUUGCCAAUGGAGGCGCAGGUGCAAGCCUAUUGAAAGAAAGCGUCAAUGAGGGUGAGAUUCCUUUUUGUCAUUUGCAGUCCUCCGUGCACGGUAUAUAUUUGACGAGUCACACUCCUCGGCAUUGGAAUGCAAAGUGGGUGGUAAAUUCCAUGUAAAGGUAAAUAUAUUAUUGAGACUGAUAGCAAACAAGUACCAUGAGGGAAAUAUGAAAAGGACUUUGAAAAGAGAAUUAAAAGAGUCUGCAUUUGCUGAACAGAAAGCAAACAGAAUUGAUUUUACUUGGUGAGAUUGUUGUGCUUACUCUAUCAUUUAUAUGGUUGAUGUGGGUGCGAUGGUUCUUACCUUGAAUGUCAGCUUCUAUUUCUGCAAAUCAUUACCCUUGCACAUGAAUGGUAACUUGCCUGCGGGUAUUGGAAUGCAUGUGUUUGCAAUGAUUUGUGAUUUGACGCAUGUGUUUGGUGAAAUUUGUAUAUGCUCUUUUGUCGAAGGGGAAAGCUUACUUUUUUGAGCAUUGCAAGCCCUUACACAUCAGUGCUGGCAAAAUGUUUCUGCUUGACCCGUCUUGAAACACGGACCAAGGAGUCUAACAGAUGUGCAAGUUCGUGGGUGGCAAACCUUUUUGCGCAAUGAAAGUAUUGGCUGGGAUACUUGC
rnacentral:rRNA from 1 species